rnacentral:rRNA from 1 species
AGGCAGCAGUGAGGAAUAUUGGACAAUGGGCGCAAGCCUGAUCCAGCGACGCCGCGUGAGUGAUGAAGGCCUUUGGGUCGUAAAGCUCUGUCAGCAGGGAAGAACGGCCGUGUGGUUAAUACCCAUGCGGAUUGACGGUACCUGCAGAGGAAGCACCGGCUAACUCCGUGCCAGCAGCCGCGGUAAUACGGAGGGUGCGAGCGUUAAUCGGAAUUACUGGGCGUAAAGGGCGCGUAGGCGGCUGAUCAAGUCAGAUGUGAAAGCCCACGGCUUAACCGUGUGAAGUGCAUCUGAAACUGGUCGGCUUGAGUAUCGGAGAGGAAAGUGGAAUUCCCGGUGUAGAGGUGAAAUUCGUAGAUAUCGGGAGGAAUACCGGUGGCGAAGGCGACUUUCUGGACGAAUACUGACGCUGAGGCGCGAAAGCGUGGGGAGCAAACAGGAUUAGAUACCCUGGUAGUCCACAGCUGUAAACGAUGUGCACUAGAUGUGGGGAAGUGUUGA